UAGUGGAGAUGCCUCUAAUGUCAGCACUCCAGGAGGCUGAGGCGAGAAGUUUGCAAGUCUGAGCUCGGCCUGAGCAACUGAGCUAUUUGAAUCCAAGAUUAACAGAGUGACUGUGGAAUGAAUAUGUGAUACAGACUUUACCUUCAGAUGUGCAAUGGCUCUAAUAUGGGUCUAAAGCAAUGGAGUUAACCUACCAUGGACUGAAAACUCUGAAACCAUGAGCCAAAACACUGCCAUGGGCCACUACAGGAUCAUGGAUGCUGUCGUCAGAGAGGCUGACACCAAACGGUGCAUGCUAGGUACUGUUGAAAGACUAACCCAGAAAUCCUGGA